UUAAAAAGCUCGUAGUUGGAUUUGUGGUGUACUUCCGGCGGCCCGUCACUAUGUGAUGGAGCUUGCUGAAGUCGCCAUCCUCGGGUGGAUCCUGUGUGGCAUUAAGUUGUCGUGCAGGGGAUGCCCAUCGUUUACUGUGAAAAAAUUAGAGUGUUCAAAGCAGGCUUAUGCCGUUGAAUAUAUUAGCAUGGAAUAAUAAGAUAGGACCUUGGUACUAUUUUGUUGGUUUGCGCACCAAGGUAAUGAUUAAUAGGGACAGUUGGGGGUAUUCGUAUUUCAUUGUCAGAGGUGAAAUUCUUGGAUUUUUGAAAGACGAACUACUGCGAAAGCAUUUACCGAGGAUGUUUUCAUUAAUCAAGAACGAAAGUUAGGGGAUCGAAGAUGAUUAGAUACCCAUCGUAAGUCUUAACCAUAAACUAUGCCCCGACCAAGGGAUUGGUGGAGUUUCGUUAUGUCUCCAUCAGCACCUUAUGAGAAAAUCACAAGUCUUUGGGGUUCCGGGGGGAGUAUGGU
rnacentral:rRNA from 1 species